AACCCAUCAAAGAAGAGUUAGCUGUGGCCUGAUGGUUAGAGAGUUGGACUUGAAACCUGAAGGUCACAGGGUUGAGUCUCGGUGCUGGCAGGAGCUGUAGGUAGGGGAUGGGGGUUGAUGAACAGCGCUCUCUUCCACCCUCAGUACCCAAGCCUGAAGUGCCCAUGAGCAAGGCACUGAACCCCCAGUUUCUCCCCUGGCGCUGGAUCUAUAGCUGCCCACUGCUCCGGGUCUUCAGGUCAGGCUAAUCUGAUAAAUGAUAUUCACUUGAUAACAUCUUGCUGUGUCCUCUGGAAGUAACCCAAUAAUUAGAAAUUCCUUCAGGAUUUCCAAGUGUGGUUGGAUGCAUUGAUGGCAUGCAUAUUCCUACCAUCUAACCUACCGAAAAUGAAGAGGAUUACUGUGUGGAAGGGUAGGAUGAGAUAUAUGCUGUAACCACCACCACUGCUGUUAAAUAAACUAACUAUUCACAAUC